AGUAGAAUGGCUGAGAAGUGAUUAAGGCUAUAGAUUGUAAAUUUAUUUAGGGAAUAAUCCUUCUACUG
rnacentral:tRNA from 1 species